GAUGAACGCUGGCGGCGUGCCUAAUACAUGCAAGUCGAGCGAACAGACGAGGAGCUUGCUCCUCUGACGUUAGCGGCGGACGGGUGAGUAACACGUGGAUAACCUACCUAUAAGACUGGGAUAACUUCGGGAAACCGGAGCUAAUACCGGAUAAUAUAUUGAACCGCAUGGUUCAAUAGUGAAAGACGGUUUUGCUGUCACUUAUAGAUGGAUCCGCGCCGCAUUAGCUAGUUGGUAAGGUCACGGCUUACCAAGGCGACGAUGCGUAGCCGACCUGAGAGGGUGAUCGGCCACACUGGAACUGAGACACGGUCCAGACUCCUACGGGAGGCAGCAGUAGGGAAUCUUCCGCAAUGGGCGAAAGCCUGACGGAGCAACGCCGCGUGAGUGAUGAAGGUCUUCGGAGCGUAAAACUCUGUUAUUAGGGAAGAACAAAUGUGUAAGUAACUAUGCACGUCUUGACGGUACCUAAUCAGAAAGCCUCGGCUAACUACGUG
rnacentral:rRNA from 1 species